UCAGUUAUCGUUUAUUUGAUAGUACCUUACUACAUGGAUAACCGUGGUAAUUCUAGAGCUAAUACAUGCUAAAAACCUCGACUUCGGAAGGGGUGUAUUUAUUAGAUAAAAAACCAAUGCCCUCCGGGGCUCCUUGGUGAUUCAUAAUAACUCAACGAAUCGCAUGGCCUUGCGCCGGCGAUGGUUCAUUCAAAUUUCUGCCCUAUCAACUUUCGAUGGUAGGAUAGUGGCCUACCAUGGUUUUAACGGGUAACGGGGAAUUAGGGUUCUAUUCCGGAGAGGGAGCCUGAGAAACGGCUACCACAUCCAAGGAAGGCAGCAGGCGCGCAAAUUACCCAAUCCCAACACGGGGAGGUAGUGACAAUAAAUACUGAUGUGGAGCUCUUUAGGGUUUCACAAUUGGAAUGAGUACAAUUUAAAUCCCUUAACGAGGAACAAUUGGAGGGCAAGUCUGGUGCCAGCAGCCGCGGUAAUUCCAGCUCCAAUAGCGUAUAUUAAAGUUGUUGCAGUUAAAAAGCUCGUAGUUGAACCUUGGGCCUGGCUGACCGGUCCGCCUCACCGCGAGCACUGGUUCGGCCGGGCCUUUCCUUCUGGGGAGCCGCAUGCCCUUCACUGGGUGUGUCGGGGAACCAGGACUUUUACUUUGAAAAAAUUAGAGUGUUCAAAGCAGGCCUAUGCUCGAAUACAUUAGCAUGGAAUAAUAGAAUAGGACGUGCGGUUCUAUUUUGUUGGUUUCUAGGACCGCCGUAU
rnacentral:rRNA from 1 species